AGAGUAAAUUGUACAAAUGGUCCCUCAACUUUAAUCAAAUUGGAGCAAUGGUCCCUCAACUAAAAAUCCAUUACCAUUGGUCCCUCAACUUAUCAAAAUGUGUAGCUAUAGUCCUUUUCAUCAAUUUUGUCAAAAUUUUGUCAAAAUAAGCUAUGUUGGAAUGACUAUUUAUAUAAUUAGGGUCCCUUAACUCAUCAAAGUGUAUAAUUAUGGUUCUUUUCGUCAACUAUGUCAAAAAAUUUGUUAAAACGAGUUAUAUUGGAAGGACCAUUGCUACAAUUGGGUUAAAGUUAAAGGACCAUUUCUCCACUUGAAUUAAAGUUCAGGGACCAAUGGUAAUGGAUUUUUAGUUGAGGGACC
rnacentral:lncRNA from 1 species